rnacentral:rRNA from 1 species
GUCCUACGGGAGGCAGCAGUGAGGAAUAUUGGUCAAUGGACGCAAGUCUGAACCAGCCAUGCCGCGUGAAGGAUGAAGGCCUUCUGGGUUGUAAACUUCUUUUAUUGGGGAAGAAAAUUACGGUUUCUACUGUAACCGACGGUACCCAAGGAAUAAGCACCGGCUAACUCCGUGCCAGCAGCCGCGGUAAUACGGAGGGUGCAAGCGUUAUCCGGAUUCACUGGGUUUAAAGGGUGUGUAGGCGGGUAUUUAAGUCAGUGGUGAAAUCUCCGAGCUCAACUCGGAAACUGCCAUUGAUACUAGUUGUCUUGAAUAUCGUUGAGGUUGGCGGAAUAUAUCAUGUAGCGGUGAAAUGCUUAGAUAUGAUAUAGAACACCGAUUGCGAAGGCAGCUAACUAAGCGAUGAUUGACGCUGAGGCACGAAAGCGUGGGGAUCAAACAGGAUUAGAUACCCGGGUAGUC